GAGCGCGACCAUGGAGGCGGGGAUCACCCGAUCCCAUUCCGAACUCGGUAGUUAAGCCCGCCAUCGCCUAAAGUACUACAGCGUCAGGCUGUGGGAGGACGGGAAGUCGCGCUCA
rnacentral:rRNA from 2 species